GACGAACGCUGGCGGCGUGCUUAACACAUGCAAGUCGAACGGAAAGGCCCUGCUUUUGUGGGGUGCUCGAGUGGCGAACGGGUGAGUAACACGUGAGUAACCUGCCCUUGACUUUGGGGAUAACUUCAGGAAAACUGGGGCUAAUACCGGAUAGGAGCUCCUGCUGCAUGGUGGGGUUGGAAAGUUUCGGCGGUUGGGGAUGGACUCGCGGCCUAUCAGCUUGUUGGUGGGGUAGUGGCUUACCAAGGCUUUGACGGGUAGCCGGCCUGAGAGGGUGACCGGCCACAUUGGGACUGAGAUACGGCCCAGACUCCUACGGGAGGCAGCAGUGGGGAAUAUUGCACAAUGGGCGGAAGCCUGAUGCAGCAACGCCGCGUGCGGGAUGACGGCCUUCGGGUUGUAAACCGCUUUCGCCUGUGACGAAGCGUGAGUGACGGUAAUGGGUAAAGAAGCACCGGCUAACUACGUG
rnacentral:rRNA from 1 species